UGUGUAGGCGGUUCUCUAAGUUCGGUGUGAAAUCUCCUGGCUUAACCGGGAGGGUGCGCCGAAAACUGGAGGGCUUGAGUAUGGGAGAGGAAAGCGGAAUUCCUGGUGUAGCGGUGAAAUGCGUAGAUAUCAGGAGGAACACCUGCGGUGUAGACAGCUUUCUGGACCAUCACUGACGCUGAGACACGAAAGCGUGGGUAGCAAACAGGAUUAGAUACCCUGGUAGUCCACGCCCUAAACGAUGCAUACUUGGUGUGAGCCGUUCAUUCGGUUCGUGCCGGAGCUAACGCGUUAAGUAUGCCGCCUGGGGAGUACGGUCGCAAGGCUAGAA
rnacentral:rRNA from 1 species